GCAGGAAUCGCGGAACCCGCUGCCCCUUAGGCCGCCGUUUACCCUCUAGCCUGAGACAUUGCUGAAGAGAAGCAGACACUUUCUGGAUAUUUUCGGGGGGCCCGAGUUUGAGGAAGCACUUGCAGUCACCUCGUCCCUAUUUUAGCACCUGAACUUUCCUUCUGAAGAAGCCUUUUUGUGGAAGAGUAGAUGGAAGAAUCACAUGACAAGAAUUAUUUGCAACCCCCAACUGGAAUACAUUCUGAUACAACCAUGGUUUUGCUGCUCCCACUUUGCCUUCAUUCCCUGACAGAAAGUUUUUCAUUCUCAGGUAACCACCAAAUUUGCUUGGUAUGAACUUCCAUUCCUCCUGAAGAAGCAACAUGGCUUUCGCACUAAUAAAUAUAUCUUUUUCUUAUACUUCAAUAUUAUCAUUAUGAACAACAAAUACAGUGAAAUAUGUCAAAUGCCC
rnacentral:lncRNA from 1 species